GUCUAUGGCCAUGUUACCCUGAACAGGCCCGAUCCCAUCUGAUCUUGGAAGCUAAGCAGAAUCAGACCUGGUUAGUACUUGGAUGGGAGACCACCUAGGAAGACCAGGUGCUGUAGGCA
rnacentral:rRNA from 1 species